UUCAGUAAAAAUAAAAAAAAGAGUACUGUAAUGAGUUGGAUGUAUAGCUUUGGCUGAAUGUGUCCCUUGUGCUUUUAGGAGGAUGGAGCAUGUUUGCCAUCCAGUAGUGACAGCUCGAAGUGCACAGAUGCUGAUGUCGGAGAAAUGAAGGAGCCUUUGACCGUGAACAUACUAACCAGGUAGUUCCGAUGAAAAGAUGCUGCUGGCUGGAGAGGUCUGGUGAAUCUCACACAAAAAAGGGUCACCACAAACAAAGAAGAAGUGGACCAAAGAGGAAAUCGAAGCUGUUGAAAGGACCUUAAUGGACUACAUCAAUGGUGGUCAGUGGUCAGAAAUGCAUCACAACAUCGUCACUGGCCGAUCAAGGGAUGAGUUGUCAAAAUAUAUAUUAAAAACUGAAUUUAAAAGAAUUAAAAAAAAGGUAAGCCGCAUUUUCAUCAGAUGGAAGAUUAAAUUCCUGGUGGACUGCCAGCACGUUUACAGACAUUGUUUACAGUAGUCUUAUUGCUCUCUGUUAUUGUUAUAUUUAUAUAAUAUUUGAAAGUUGAAAUGUUGUGC